CCUACGGGGUGCUGCAGUGAGGAAUAUUGGUCAAUGGGCGGAAGCCUGAACCAGCCAAGUAGCGUGCAGGAUGACGGCCCUACGGGUUGUACACUGCUUUUAUACGGGAAUAACGCGCCUUACGUGUAGGGCUUUGCAUGUACCGUAUGAAUAAGGACCGGCUAAUUCCGUGCCAGCAGCCGCGUUAAUACGGAAGGUCCGGGCGUUAUCCGGAUUUAUUGGGUUUAAAGGGAGCGUAGGCCGCAUGUCAAGCGUGCUGUGAAAUGUCCGGGCUCAACCCGGGCCUUGCAGAGUGAACUGGCGUGCUUGAGUCCGCGGAAAGCAGGCGGAAUUCGUCGUGUAGCGGUGAAAUGCUGAGAUAUGACGAAGAACCCCGAUUGCGAAGGCAGCUUGCUGCAGCGGAACUGACGCUGAUGCUCGAAAGCGCGGGUAUCGAACAGGAUUAGAUACCCUUGUAGUC
rnacentral:rRNA from 1 species